AUGGCAGUUGCUCUUGGUGAGGCAGAUGCUCCAGAAGGGGAUGGGCAGAGAAGUGGACACAGCCCAGACCUGGGAGAUGCCAGGCAUGGCUGCUAUCCUCGUCCUUGCAGGGGAGGGUGGGUGCAUCCACUUGGCCUCUUUGCCUCCGCACGGGACCCAGGAUUUGUCCUGGGGUGUCUGCAGCAGGCUGGGCACUGUGGCCAGGCUGGUGGCUUGAGGACUGGCAGGGAUGGCAAGAGACCUGAACUCUGUUGGGAGAGCCUCAGUCUUUCCCCACAUCUGUCCUCCACCUCAGCCACAGGUGUCACACAGAGAGGCCCCUGGAGCCCCUGCAGCUUGACUCUGCCCACGAGCCAACAGGGAGAUGCUUCUUCUUAUCACCCUCAUUGCUCUGACUGUGGCUGGAGUCCCAGCCCCACCUCUGCCCUCUCACCUCUCUGGGAGCAGGCGAGAGAUCAUCUGCCCAAGAGAGGACGCCUUUCCAGGGAGGAGCGCACCGAGGGGGCCCUGCCAGCCCCUGGGGUCCUCACCUUGCCUUCUUCAAGCAGGGACAGGACGGCCUUGAAGGAGGGAGCAGUGACCAUGCUGGCUCAGACUGCAGAGCUGCGGCCAUCUGUGACUUGGAGGAUGAGAACCCCAGUGCCAUCACAAAAAAUCUGCUCUUCCAUUUGCAGAAUACUAACAUUCCUCAGUGGCAUAAACAGUCAGUGCUGGGUUCAUUCCCUUCCUUGCCUUACGGUGUUUUUUUUUUCAAAACCUCUUGUUUGUAUAAAAUGAUUCACACCCUGGAAUUGACUACAGGGAACCCUCUCCCUGCCGCCUGUCCUCUGGAUAAAACUGAGUCUCGGGUCUGGGAGGGCACCGCAGCGGAGCUGGAUUGCUGCCCA
rnacentral:lncRNA from 1 species